CACGUAGGGGGCGAGCGUUGUCCGGAUUCAUUGGGCGUAAAGAGCUCGUAGGCGGCUUGGUAAGUCGGGUGUGAAAACUCUGGGCUCAACUCAGAGACGCCACCCGAUACUGCUAUGGCUUGAGUCUGGUAGGGGAGUGUGGAAUUCCCGGUGUAGCGGUGAAAUGCGCAGAUAUCGGGAGGAACACCAGCGGCGAAGGCGGCACUCUGGGCCAGUACUGACGCUGAGGAGCGAAAGCGUGGGGAGCGAACAGGAUUAGAAACCCCCGUAGUCC
rnacentral:rRNA from 1 species